rnacentral:rRNA from 1 species
UACAGAGGUCCCAAGCGUUGUCCGGAUUUACUGGGCGUAAAGGAUGCGUAGGUGGAUAUUUAAGUGGGAUGUGAAAUACCCGGGCUCAACUUGGGUGCUGCAUUCCAAAACUGGAUAUCUAGAGUGCAGGAGAGGAAAGUGGAAUUCCUAGUGUAGCAGUGAAAUGCGCAGAUAUCAGGAGGAACACCGGUGGCGAAGGCGGGUCUCUGGGCCGUAACUGACGCUGAGGAGCGAAAGCGUGGGGAGCGAACAGG